CGUACACUCCUACGGGAGGCAGCAGUGGGGAAUAUUGGACAAUGGGCGCAAGCCUGAUACAGCCAUGCCGCGUGAGUGAUGAAGGCCCUAGGGUUGUAAAGCUCUUUUGUGCGGGAAGAUAAUGACGGUACCGCAAGAAUAAGCCCCGGCUAACUUCGUGCCAGCAGCCGCGGUAAUACGAAGGGGGCUAGCGUUGCUCGGAAUCACUGGGCGUAAAGGGUGCGUAGGCGGGUCUUUAAGUCAGGGGUGAAAUCCUGGAGCUCAACUCCAGAACUGCCUUUGAUACUGAAGAUCUUGAGUUCGGGAGAGGUGAGUGGAACUGCGAGUGUAGAGGUGAAAUUCGUAGAUAUUCGCAAGAACACCAGUGGCGAAGGCGGCUCACUGGCCCGAUACUGACGCUGAGGCACGAAAGCGUGGGGAGCAAACAGGAUUAGAUACCCCAGUAGUCCCAUG
rnacentral:rRNA from 1 species